rnacentral:sRNA from 1 species
ACAUUUUUAAAAACAAUUUUGGUUUGUCAACAAUAACAAUUUUAGAAACAAUUUAGGUUUUUCAACAAUGUCAUUUUUUGAAACAAUAUUUCAACAAUAACAUUUUUUAAAACAAUAAGUAUAUAAGUGCUCUUGCUGCCAGAUAUUAACAAUAUCACAAAAAUGUCUGUAAUUAGAAUAUCUAUGAACAAGUGAGCUAAUAAGAAUACCUUCAUGGAAGAAGUUUUUAUAAAAUAAAUUGUCUGAUGAAUGUCUAACUAGAUUUGGUCAAAACCAGAAGUACAUUGUAGAGGAAGAAAACAAAAUGAAAGCAUGUCAACUUUUUUGAUGCAAUAAAGAUAAAUUUAUAGAACAAAUCAUC